rnacentral:rRNA from 1 species
AGCAAGCACCGGCUAACUCCGUGCCAGCAGCCGCGGUAAUACGGGGGGUGCAAGCGUUACUCGGAAUCACUGGGCGUAAAGAGCAUGUAGGCUGAUUAGUAAGUUGGAAGUGAAAUCCUAUGGCUCAACCAUAGAACUGCUUCCAAAACUGCUUAUCUAGAGUAUGGGAGAGGUAGAUGGAAUUUCUGGUGUAGGGGUAAAAUCCGUAGAGAUCAGAAGGAAUACCGAUUGCGAAGGCGAUCUACUGGAACAUUACUGACGCUGAGAUGCGAAAGCGUGGGGAGCAAACAGGAUUAGAUACCCUGGUAGUCCACGCCCUAAACGAUGCACACUAGUUGUUGCUAUGCUAGACAUAGCAGUAAUGCAGUUAACACAGUAAGUGUGCCGCCUGGGGAGUACGGUCGCAAGAUUAAAACUCAAAGGAAUAGACGGGGACCCGCACAAGCGGUGGAGCAUGUGGUUUAAUUCGACGAUACGCGAAGAACCUUACCUGGCCUUGACUUAGUAAGAAUCUAAUAGAGAUAUAAGAGUGCUAGUUUACUAGAGCUUACAUACAGGUGCUGCACGGCUGUCGUCAGCUCGUGUCGUGAGAUGUUGGGUUAAGUCCCGCAACGAGCGCAACCCUCGUGUUUAGUUACUAACAGUUCGGCUGAGGACUCUAGACAGACUGCCUGGGUAACCAGGAGGAAGGUGAGGACGACGUCAAGUCAUCAUGGCCCUUACGGCCAGGGCUACACACGUGCUACAAUGGGGUAUACAAAGAGCCGCGAUACCGUGAGGUGGAGCAAAUCUCAUAAAAUAUCUCCCAGUUCGGAUUGAAGUCUGCAACUCGACUUCAUGA